CAUCUCACCGCUGGAAUAGCAGUGCUCCAGUUCCUCGGGGAGCCUGUGAGCAGCAAGUCAGCCAGCAGCAUGGAUCGUUCUUCUGCACCCAUUGUUAUGGAAAUUGCCUUAGAGACAGUUGCUCCAGCAAACAUUUUUAGAAGCUUGAGUGAGAUGUGCAACAGGAAAACUAAGCUGGAGGUUUGCUCAUGCUCAUCACCACUGCCUGUCAUGGAGCUGGACCAGAUCUCCAGCCCGUGCCCAGGAGCUUUGAGCAGCCUCAGCUGAUGGAAGGGAAAAGCACGGAUCCAGUGACCUUUGCUUGCAUAACUGCUGCCCACAGUCCCUGCCUGACAUUUGAGGAGUGGCCGUGAGUGCUGGAGGGGGUGCACGGUGAUGGGGUGCUGGGCAAGGCAGGUGAACCUCAUCCUUGCUGGCAGAGUGCCAGGCUGAGCCCUGACCCUUCCUUUCUCUUUCUGGAAGUCACAGUGGACUCUCACGGCGGUGUCUCACCAGGAACCAAGGACAAGAAACGUCCCCCCAGCUCUUUGCUGGCAAGGCAGAGGGAUUGACCACAGUUUGUCUAUUCCCAGGGCUGUUUUGCUGCCCACAGCAAUGGAGCCAGAGCAGAGUGGAGUGUGUUUGGCUCUGUGGAAUGUUGUGUCACUCACUGCAGGUGCCAUGGGACUGAGCAAGAGGGAGCUCACAGGCUGGAGCUGGGAGGGGACCCUGUCAUCCCAAUGGAGAUGCCGGCAGUCAUGAGGUGGUGGCAAGAUGCCACCAAACAGCCCAGGCCACACUGGCCUGCCAGGUCCCCAGUUUCAGCCUGGCUGCUCCUCAGCAUCCCCCUGGCAGUGCCUGGGGUGGGGAAGGACGACUCCAUCCCAUCCCAGGCCUGCCUCCUCUGGCUUUUCCAAGCUGGUAUUGAUGCCUCCAGGCACUUCCUGCAGGACCACGGUGCCAGGUGCUGCAGAUGCUGUUGAAGCUGCUGAGCAUCCUGACCUUCACACUGCUUAAAAAAAAAAAGUACCAUUUCUGGCAUGCUGGGCCCACUGCUGAAGAGCUGUUCCUCUUCCACCUCCUUCACCUGCUGGGAUGAAAAGCUACAGAGUUGUGCUGCCAUGAAGAGGGACUCUGAUGGGCAAAGAGGAGCUUCGUGAAGUGCAACAAGGGGAAGUACGAACUCCUGCCACUGGGGAGGAAUAACCCCACUCAUCAGUACACACUGGGGUCCAACCAGCUGGAGAAGAACUUUGCAGGUAAAGACCUGAGGGGUCCUGGUGGACAACAAGCUGACCAUGAGCCAGAGGUGCAUUCUCAAAGCCAGCAACAUCAUGGCCUGGAUUAGGAAGAGUGUUGCCAGCAGGGCAAGGGAGAAGAAGGAAGAAGGUUUUGAUUCAUCCUUUGUGACCAAGAACUGCUGCCACUGGUGGAAACAGGACUGGCACCUGUGAGUGUUUCAGAUAUUUCUUGCCAACUCUUAGGUCCAGCAAAGUGUUGCAUGAAGGAACUUUUAACCCCAUUUCAAGGAUUGGGAAGCAGGACACAGACAGAGGGAAGGGAUCUGCCCAGUGUCACAUCAUUAAGCCAGUGGUGGGUUGGGAAGGCACCAGACCCUUGUGUGAGACCUGGUUCAGUUCCCUCUGUAUUGGGUCAUGUUCUAUCAGGUCAUAUAUGUGUAUCCAAGAGUUGUGAGUGUAUCCAAGAGUGUCAAACUGUCUGGACCAGUGAUCAGCAGGGAUUGCUGAAUGAGUUCACAGAAAAUUGUAACGUUGUUAAAUACAUUAAACAAACAAACAAAAAAAGGCAAAUCAAAAA